rnacentral:rRNA from 1 species
UACGUAGGGGGCUAGCGUUGUCCGGAAUCAUUGGGCGUAAAGCGCGUGUAGGCGGUUCGGUAAGUCCGCUGUGAAAGUCGGGGGCUCAACCCUCGGAUGCCGGUGGAUACUGUCGGACUAGAGUACAGAAGGGGCAACUGGAAUUCUCGGUGUAGCGGUGAAAUGCGUAGAUAUCGAGAGGAACACCUGCGGCGAAGGCGGGUUGCUGGGCUGAUACUGACGCUGAGGCGCGAAAGCCAGGGGAGCGAACGGG